GAUGAACGCUGGCGGCGUGCCUAAUACAUGCAAGUCGAGCGAACAGACGAGGAGCUUGCUCCUCUGACGUUAGCGGCGGACGGGUGAGUAACACGUGGAUAACCUACCUAUAAGACUGGGAUAACUUCGGGAAACCGGAGCUAAUACCGGAUAAUAUAUUGAACCGCAUGGUUCAAUAGUGAAAGACGGUUUUGCUGUCACUUAUAGAUGGAUCCGCGCCGCAUUAGCUAGUUGGUAAGGUAACGGCUUACCAAGGCAACGAUGCGUAGCCGACCUGAGAGGAGGGUGAGCCACCACUGAAAUGAGAAGACGGGCAGCAUACUCAUGGGGGGGGCAGGAGGGGAGAUUCCCCCAAGGGGGGAAAAAUUACGAGGGAACAGCGCCGGGUGGGAGAAGGGGUUCGGGGGGGCAAAAAUCUUUGUUAGGAGAGAAAAAAAAAUGUAAAAAAAACUGCGCGCUUUAAGGCGACCAAAUAAGAAAGACCCGCGGAUAACGUC
rnacentral:rRNA from 1 species